CCGGCUAUUUCCGUCGGUUGUGGCGCGAGGCGGCGGCCAUUUUGUUUGAGCGCGAGGAGUGGGAUCGGGAUCAGGAGCGGAGCCGGUUCGAGAGAUAGAGCAAGAGCAGCCAUGAAUCAUGGUUCGUGUCCUCUAGACUGCAAGGUGUACGUUGGAAACCUUGGAAAUAAUGGGAACAAGACUGAGCUGGAGAGAUCGUUUGGAUAUUAUGGCCCACUCCGCAGUGUGUGGGUUGCCCGGAACCCACCUGGGUUUGCUUUUGUUGAGUUCGAAGAUCCACGUGAUGCUUCGGAUGCAGUCAGAGAGCUCGACGGAAGGAAUCUUUGUGGCUGCCGUGUUCGUGUAGAACUAUCCAAUGGGGAGAGACGCAUUCGUAACCGUGGCCCGCCUCCAGCGUGGGCCAGGCGUUCUCGUGAGGAUUAUCGCCGCAGGAGCCCCCCGGUCCGGCGCAGAGUCACCAUCAUGCCUCUUCUCACCACCCUUCGAAUCUACAUUAGCCAGUCAACUAGCCCUUUCAGCGUCAUGUGACCAGCGCGCCCCAAUCAGCUUGGCUGGUGUCGGUAUCACAUGACCAAGGCAUGUCCAGUCGUCAGGUUGCACCACCGCCCUUUGGUUCCCAAGCAUGCUGUUUCUCAGCCUCUUCUCCAACCAUGACCAAUCGGCAGCGGCUGCCUCAACUGCCCGCACAUUUCUGGUCAAUCAGCUGUUUACUUUACUCGUUGUCUCCACAACAGCAGCCGAACACUCAGCAUUUGUCUCAGCAGCCUUCGACUAAAUAAAAAGCAGGAAAAAAACCACUACACCCCCCUCUGCCAACCAAAUACCACGCAUCUGGCAAACCUUUUCAGCAAAUUCUACCUGGCCGUCAGUCCGGCAGCCUCACCUCUCCAUUUCUAGCUUGUUGAAAACCAAAAGACUAAUCACCACCUCGCCGAAGGAGCUUCAGCAGGAGUAGGAGCAGCCGCUCCAGGUCAAACGAUAGGAAGUAAAUCUGAAGCAUAGUGGCCUUUGUGAAGAUCCAUGUACAGACUUGUCGGAGUUGUUAAGAAUGUGAUUUGCAUUUGUUUAAUAGACUCGACGUGUAGUCAGUUGCAUUUUUUACCCUAUUUUAGCUGUUCAUUGUCUUUCUUUUCAUGUAUUCUAUAAUGUAACCAGUGAUGAGAUUUUCAGAUGCAGAAAUUGUCAAACCUGUGAAUUAUGGGCAGAGUUGAGCAUUUUAUAAAGGCAGGAUUGUAUUGUGGGCAGACCACUGAUUGCUUACCUACUGCAUUGACGUUGAGGGUGCAUUUUCAUCUGUUUCUGUAUUCCAAAAGUGUGUCCCAUCUCCAGCAAAUCUGGUGGGAAUGAUCCCUGUCCGCAACCCCAAGUUGAUCUGAUCAACACAGUUUUAGUUCAUCUCUGGGUUAUUGGCAGAUAACCAUCCUAAGCCUGGUAGGCUUUUUAACACAAGUUUGUGGCAUGUGCUGUUUAACCUGCCACCUGGGGUUAUGUGCUGAGCGUUUUUGUUUUGUAUUUACUGGUUUUUCAUGUGUUUUCUAAGAGACAUGCAAGCAGACAUCUAAACUUUGGCUUGCUAUUUGUAAAUCCCGUGCUUGUCAGUUUGUGGUAGUCAGUUAUGUGCAGUGCUUUGGACAUCACUGGAACAGAAAUAGUUCUGUAGUGACCACAUUAGAAUAUAUUGGAAUAUUCUAUUGUGUAUAUAAGGAAUGUGCUCUAUGACAUUCAAUAGUAAUUAAUAUUAUCGUCAAGGUAGAGGAGUCUUGCAGGUUUCGAGAAUGCCUUGUAUCUUGCCAGCUCCUCAUCUGAAAUUGGAAGAAUUGAAUUGAGACAUUUAGGAAAAUGACAUUUCUUGCUACCAGCUAAUUAACUUUAUCUGCAUGAAUAUCACAGAUACUGGCUGCAGCCCAAGAGGUUACCAAUCAAUUUGAGACGUCAGGCAUGCUUUGAUCAGGUUAGCUUUGAGUUGUGUGCUCACGCCCAUGAGGUUGGUGAGCUGCUGUUUCCUAUGCUGGAAAUGCUUUAUAUUGAGUCCUUUUCUCAUUUACUGCAUUGUAAAUAUUGUAUGUGGCUUGUUGCCCUGCCCUAACUGUAUCUUGUCCAUUGGUGAUGUUAAGGAGAAGCUGCAGCAAUACAAUUUUCUCCCAUGUGAUCCUGUUCCUGCCUUCACACUGCACCAUUCGUACGCUGUUUUGUGACUUUCUUGGAAAUAAACUUUGGUUACACAACAAA